rnacentral:misc_RNA from 1 species
GAUGAAGAACGUAGCGAAAUGCGAUAAGUAGUGUGAAUUGCAGAAUUCAGUGAAUCAUCGAGUCUUUGAACGCACAUUGCGCCCCCUGGUAUUCCGGGGGGCAUGCCUGUCCGAGCGUCAUUACAACCCUCAGGCCCCCGGGCCUGGCGUUGGGGAUCGGCGGAGCCCCCCGUGGGCACACGCCGUCCCCCAAAUGCAGUGGCGGUCCCGCCGCAGCUUCCAUCGCGUAGUAGCUAACACCUCGCGACUGGAGAGCGGCGCGGCCACGCCGUAAAACACCCAACUCUUCUGAAGUUGACCUCGAAUCAGGUAGGAAUACCCGCUGAACUUAAGCAUAUCAAUAAGCGGAGGA